rnacentral:rRNA from 1 species
CCACCGAGAUCUACACUCUUUCCCUACACGACGCUCUUCCGAUCUCUGGGAAAUAGGCAAAUCCGUUUCCCAUAAGGCUGAGCUGUGAUGGCGAGCGAAAUAUAGUAGCGAAGUUCCUGAUUCCACACUGCCAAGAAAAGCCUCUAGCGAGGUGAGAGGUGCCCGUACCGCAAACCGACACAGGUAGGCGAGGAGAGAAUCCUAAGGUGAUCGAGAGAACUCUCGUUAAGGAACUCGGCAAAAUGACCCCGUAACUUCGGGAGAAGGGGUGCUCUGUUAGGGUGCAAGCCCGAGAGAGCCGCAGUGAAUAGGCCCAGGCGACUGUUUAGCAAAAACACAGGUCUCUGCGAAGCCGUAAGGCGAAGUAUAGGGGCUGACGCCUGCCCGGUGCUGGAAGGUUAAGAGGAGCGCUUAGCGUAAGCGAAGGUGCGAAUUGAAGCCCCAGUAAACGGCGGCCGUAACAAUAACGGUCCUAAGGUAGCGAAAUUCCUUGUCGGGUAAGUUCCGACCCGCACGAAAGGCGCAACGAUCUGGGCACUGUCUCAACGAGAGACUCGGUGAAAUUAUAGUACCUGUGAAGAUGCAGGUUACCCGCGACAGGACGGAAAGACCCCGUGGAGCUUUACUGCAGCCUGAUAUUGAAUGUUGGUACAGCUUGUACAGGAUAGGUAGGAGCCUUGGAAACCGGAGCGCCAGCUUCGGUGGAGGCAUCGGUGGGAUACUACCCUGGCUGUAUUGACCUUCUAACCCGCCGCCCUUAUCGGGCGGGGAGACAGUGUCAGGUGGGCAGUUUGACUGGGGCGGUCGCCUCCUAAAAGGUAACGGAGGCGCCCAAAGGUUCCCUCAGAAUGGUUGGAAAUCAUUCGCAGAGUGUAAAGGCACAAGGGAGCUUGACUGCGAGACCUACAAGUCGAGCAGGGACGAAAGUCGGGCUUAGUGAUCCGGUGGUUCCGCAUGGAAGGGCCAUCGCUCAACGGAUAAAAGCUACCCCGGGGAUAACAGGCUUAUCUCCCCCAAGAGUCCACAUCGACGGGGAGGUUUGGCACCUCGAUGUCGGCUCAUCGCAUCCUGGGGCUGUAGUCGGUCCCAAGGGUUGGGCUGUUCGCCCAUUAAAGCGGUACGCGAGCUGGGUUCAGAACGUCGUGAGACAGUUCGGUCCCUAUCCGUCGCGGGCGCAGGAAAUUUGAGAGGAGCUGUCCUUAGUACGAGAGGACCGGGAUGGACGCACCGCUGGUGUACCAGUUGUUCUGCCAAGGGCAUCGCUGGGUAGCUAUGUGCGGACGGGAUAAGUGCUGAAAGCAUCUAAGCAUGAAGCCCCCCUCAAGAUGAGAUUUCCCAUUCCGCAAGGAAGUAAGAUCCCUGAAAGAUGAUCAGGUUGAUAGGUCUGAGGUGGAAGUGUGGCGACACAUGGAGCUGACAGAUACUAAU